rnacentral:rRNA from 11 species
CCCAGCUGGCUUAAAGACUUCAAAGGCACCAAAGGCAUCUGGUCCUGGAAGCUAAGUAGAGCCGUCUCUGGUUAGUACAUGGAUGGGGGACCCCCACCGCACUCCAGGUGCUGUAGGCU